UUAGUCUGAUAUCUUUUUCUCAAUGGAAUGCUUAUGCGCACCAACACAGGCACACUCAUUUCAGGGGUUUCAGGAUUAGGAAAGGGUGGAUGCCAAGAAUAGUCUUUGACAGGUGUCCU